UACGUAGGGUGCAAGCGUUAAUCGGAAUUACUGGGCGUAAAGCGUGCGCAGGCGGUUAUGUAAGACAGAUGUGAAAUGCCCGGGCUCAACCUGGGAACUGCAUUUGUGACUGCAUGGCUAGAGUUUGGCAGAGGGGGGUAGAAUUCCACGUGUAGCAGUGAAAUGCGUAGAUAUGUGGAGGAAUACCGAUGGCGAAGGCGAGUCCCUGGACAACACCUGACACUGAGGCACGAAAGCUAGGGGAGCGAACAGGAGUUAGAAACCCCUGU
rnacentral:rRNA from 1 species